rnacentral:lncRNA from 12 species
UCUGAACCUCCACUUUGCCCCUUGGGGAAAAGCAGCCCGGAAAUAAGAGAACGUGCUCAAAGGAAGACAAAACACGCCAUUCAAACAGAAAUUGCUUAUUAAUUAUAACAUGGACACACUGCUGAAACCCAAGCCUCCCACAAAGCCAG